UACGCGUAACGAGCAGUUUCCUACGUAUUUUACGUAAACUACGUAAAAUACUUAAAUUCCGGUAUUAUACGUCGAUUUGUAUGCCACCUGGUGGUUAUCAUUGGACAUUGUACAUUUUUAAAAUUCUAACCGUCUUUCAACAGUUUUCGCAAUAACUAAUCUAAACUUUUAAUUUUAUCUCAAAAUGAGUGCAUUAAAAAAAAAAAUUUAUCAAUCAUUUUUAAAGAAAAUGAUUUUGUGAUUGAAAAGUUAAAUGGUAAAAAUAUUGCUCAAUGUUUAAAGUGCAAUUAUAAGUUAAAAAAUACUGCACAAAUUCGAUUACAAAGUCAUCGAAAUAGAUGUGCUGCCAAAACUACUGAUCCCUCGGGAAAAACUAAGGUGCUAAGUAGAUCCUCUGAAGAAAGGUCAGCUGAUAUUUCAUUUGAUAAUCAAUCUAAAGCGACUUCAAGCAUUUCAUCAAAUAGUAGGAGUGAUUUAUCAACUAUUGAUGAAACUUGUGAAAUUUUUCGUAGGAUGCAAUCUUCUGUUUAGUAUUGUUGAAUCAAUUCCGUUUAAAGAGUUUGUUAAGUCGUUAAAUCCGAACUAUCAUCUGCCAUGCAGAAAAACUCUCUCCAAUACGUUGUUAAAUAAAUUACACAGCAAAAUUUCAAGUGAACACACAAAAAUUAAUCAGUCAGAAGGAGUAAUAGUGAUAGAUAGUUGGAAAAAUUCGGUUGCAAAUACUAAAAAUGUUGUAUGUAUUAUUCAUACAGCAAAUGAACCAAGUUUUUUUUUAAACUCUUGGGAUUUCACAUUGUUAUCUGAAGAUACACAACAAUUAACUAAAGUUAUUGAAGAAGCUGUCGAAAUAGCCAAAACAAAUUAUAAUAAAACCAUUUAUGCCGUAGUUUUUGAUAACGCUCCAGUUAU